rnacentral:rRNA from 1 species
UUAAAGAUUUAUCGGUGAUGGAUGGGGAUGCGUCUGAUUAGCUUGUUGGCGGGGUAACGGCCCACCAAGGCAACGAUCAGUAGGGGUUCUGUGAGGAAGGUCCCCCACAUUGGAACUGAGACACGGUCCAAACUCCUACGGGAGGCAGCAGUGAGGAAUAUUGGUCAAUGGGCGAGAGCCUGAACCAGCCAAGUAGCGUGCAGGAAGACGGCCCUAUGGGUUGUAAACUGCUUUUAUAAGGGAAUAAAGUUAGUCUCGUGAGACUUUUUGCAUGUACCUUAUGAAUAAGGACCGGCUAAUUCCGUGCCAGCAGCCGCGGUAAUACGGAAGGUCCGGGCGUUAUCCGGAUUUAUUGGUUUAAAGGGAGCGUAGGCCGGAGAUUAAGCGUGUUGUGAAAUGUAGACGCUCAACGUCUGCACUGCAGCGCGAACUGGUUUCCUUGAGUACGCACAAAGUGGGCGGAAUUCGUGGUGUAGCGGUGAAAUGCUUAGAUAUCACGAAGAACUCCGAUUGCGAAGGCAGCUCACUGGAGCGCAACUGACGCUGAAGCUCGAAAGUGCGGGUAUCGAACAGGAUUAGAUACCCUGGUAGUCCGCACGGUAAACGAUGGAUGCCCCUGUUGGUCUGAACAGGUCAGCGGCCAAGCGAAAGCAUUAAGCAUCCCACCUGGGGAGUACGCCGGCAACGGUGAAACUCAAAGGAAUUGACGGGGGCCCGCACAAGCGGAGGAACAUGUGGUUUAAUUCGAUGAUACGCGAGGAACCUUACCCGGGCUUGAAUUGCAGAGGAAGGAUUUGGAGACAAUGACGCCCUUCGGGGUCUCUGUGAAGGUGCUGCAUGGUUGUCGUCAGCUCGUGCCGUGAGGUGUCGGCUUAAGUGCCAUAACGAGCGCAACCCCUCUCCUUAGUUGCCAUCAGGUUAAGCUGGGCACUCUGGGGACACUGCCACCGUAAGGUGUGAGGAAGGUGGGGAUGACGUCAAAUCAGCACGGCCCUUACGUCCGGGGCUACACACGUGUUACAAUGGCAGGUACAGAGAGACGGUUGUACGUAAGUACGAUCAAAUCCUUAAAGCCUGUCUCAGUUCGGACUGGGGUCUGCAACCCGACCCCACGAAGCUGGAUUCGCUAGUAAUCGCGCAUCAGCCAUGGCGCGGUGAAUACGUUCCCGGGCCUUGUACACACCGCCCGUCAAGCCAUGAAAGCCGGGGGCGCCUAAAGUCCGUGACCGUAAGGAGCGGCCUAGGGCG